AACGAACGCUGGCGGCAGGCUUAACACAUGCAAGUCGAGCGCCCCGCAAGGGGAGCGGCAGACGGGUGAGUAACGCGUGGGAACAUACCCUUUCCUGCGGAAUAGCUCCGGGAAACUGGAAUUAAUACCGCAUCAGCCUUACGGGGGAAAGAUUUAUCGGGGAAGGAUUGGCCCGCGUUGGAUUAGCUAGUUGGUGGGGUAAAGGCCUACCAAGGCGACGAUCCAUAGCUGGUCUGAGAGGAUGAUCAGCCACAUUGGGACUGAGACACGGCCCAAACUCCUACGGGAGGCAGCAGUGGGGAAUAUUGGACAAUGGGCGCAAGCCUGAUCCAGCCAUGCCGCGUGAGUGAUGAAGGCCUUAGGGUUGUAAAGCUCUUUCACCGGAGAAGAUAAUGACGGUAUCCGGAGAAGAAGCCCCGGCUAACUUCGUGCCAGCCGCCCCGUAACAC
rnacentral:rRNA from 1 species